GCUAACGCGGGGCCAGCAGGCGCGGUAAUACGGAGGGUGCAAGCGUUAAUCGGAAGUACUGGGCGUAAAGCGCACGCAGGCGGUUGGAUAAGUUAUAUGUGAAAGCCCCGGGCUCAACCUGGGAAUUGCAUUUAAAACUGUCCAGCUAGAGUCUUGUAGAGGGGGGUGGAAUUCCAGGUGUAGCGGUGAAAUGCGUAGAGAUCUGGAGGAAUACCGGUGGCGAAGGCGGCCCCCUGGACAAAGACUGACGCUCAGGUGCGAAAGCGUGGGGAGCAAACAGGAUUAGAUACCCCAGUAGUC
rnacentral:rRNA from 1 species